rnacentral:rRNA from 3 species
UACGGAGGGUGCGAGCGUUAAUCGGAAUUACUGGGCGUAAAGCGUGCGUAGGCGGUUCGUUAAGUCAGAUGUGAAAGCCCUGGGCUCAACCUGGGAACUGCAUUUGAAACUGGCGGACUAGAGUUUAGUAGAGGGGAGUGGAAUUUCAGGUGUAGCGGUGAAAUGCGUAGAUAUCUGAAGGAACACCAGUGGCGAAGGCGACUCCCUGGACUAGAACUGACGCUGAGGUACGAAAGCGUGGGUAGCAAACAGG